GACGAACGCUGGCGGCGUGCUUAACACAUGCAAGUCGAACGGAAAGGCCCUGCUUUUGUGGGGUGCUCGAGUGGCGAACGGGUGAGUAACACGUGAGUAACCUGCCCUUGACUUUGGGAUAACUUCAGGAAACUGGGGCUAAUACCGGAUAGGAGCUCCUGCUGCAUGGUGGGGGUUGGAAAGUUUCGGCGGUGGGGGAUGGACUCGCGGCUUAUCAGCUUGUUGGUGGGGUAGUGGCUUACCAAGGCUUUGACGGGUAGCCGGCCUGAGAGGGUGACCGGCCACAUUGGGACUGAGAUACGGCCCAGAAUCCUACGGGAGGCAGCAGGGGGGAAUAUUGCACAAUGGGCGGAAGCCUGAUGCAGCAACGCCGCGUGCGGGAUGACGGCCUUCGGGUUGUAAACCGCUUUCGCCUGUGACGAAGCGUGAGUGACGGUAAUGGGUAAAGAAGCACCGGCUAACUACGUG
rnacentral:rRNA from 1 species